GACGAACGCUGGCGGCGUGCCUAAUACAUGCAAGUUGAGCGAUGAAGCUUGGUGCUUGCACCAAUUUGAAGAGCAGCGAACGUGUGAGUAACGCGUGGGGAAUCUGCCUUUGAGCGGGGGACAACAUUUGGAAACGAAUGCUAAUACCGCAUAACAACUUUAAACAUAAGUUUUAAGUUUGAAAGAUGCAAUUGCAUCACUCAAAGAUGAUCCCGCGUUGUAUUAGCUAGUUGGUGAGGUAAAGGCUCACCAAGGCGAUGAUACAUAGCCGACCUGAGAGGGUGAUCGGCCACAUUGGGACUGAGACACGGCCCAAACGCCUUCGGGAGGCAGCAGUAGGGAAUCGUCGGCAAUGGGCGAAAGUCUGACCGAGCAACGCCGCGUGAGUGAAGAAGGGUUUCGGAUCGUAAAACUCUGUUGGUAGAGAAGAACGUUGGUGAGAGUGGAAAGCUCAUCAAGUGACGGUAACUACCCAGAAAGGGACGGCUAACUACGUG
rnacentral:rRNA from 1 species